rnacentral:rRNA from 3 species
GAAUGCUGACAUAAGUAACGAUAAAGCGGGUGAAAAGCCCGCUCGCCGGAAGACCAAGGGUUCCUGUCCAACGUUAAUCGGGGCAGGGUGAGUCGACCCCUAAGGCGAGGCCGAAAGGCGUAGUCGAUGGGAAACGGGUUAAUAUUCCCGUACUUGGUGUUACUGCGAAGGGGGGACGGAGAAGGCUAUGUUGGCCGGGCGA